rnacentral:rRNA from 1 species
GGGCAAGUCUGGUGCCAGCACCCGCGGUAAUUCCGGCUCUAGUAGCGUAUAUUAAAGUUGUUGCAGUUAAAAAGCUCGUAGUCUGACUUCGGGCUGGGCUGUGAAGGCUCACCGCAAGGUGGGACGGAUAGCCUGGCCUUACCCUCUGAUGUGCUCUCUGCUCUUAACUGAGUGGAUCUGUCGCACAGAGGCGUUUACCUUGAGCAAAUUGAGGUGUUCAAGGCAGGCAUAAUCGCUCGUACACGUUAGCAUGGGAUAAUGAAAUAGGGCCUUGGGUUCGCUGUUGCCGGUUGGUGAGCCCGGGCAAUGAUCAACAGGGGCGGUCGGGGUGCUUCAUAUGCAGGCGCUAGAGGUGAAAUUCUUGGACCGUCUGCAGAUGCCCAGAUGCGAAAGUGUUGCACCAGUACGUCCCCAUUGAUCAAGAACGAAAGUUAAGGGAGCGGAGACGAUCAGAUACCGUCGUAGUCUUAACCCUAAACGAUACCGACCAGGGAUCGAGGAUAGUCCCAUGGUUGACUCCUUCGGCGCCUUACGGGAAAC